CGGGGUGUAGCGCAGUUGGCUAGCGCGCAGCGUUUGGGACGCUGAGGCCGGAGGUUCGAGUCCUCUCACCCCGA
rnacentral:tRNA from 1 species